rnacentral:lncRNA from 1 species
CCCAUGUAUUCUAUGUCCCAACAUUGGGACUUUGUUUGAAUAAAUUAUUAUUAUUAUUAUUAUUAUUAAAUCAAAUCAAGCAAAUGACAUCGUUUCUCCUGUCGUUUGACUUAUUCAACAGUGAUUUUAAUGAGGAGUUUGUUCACCCCGUAUGGUAUGUUGACUGUUGUUUAUAAAAUAGUUAUAUACACACUGCAGGGUUGGAAUAUAUCAUAGUCGAUUUCAUACUCAUACACAAAACUCCCUUGGCAAUAGCGUUCAGUAGGCUUUAAUCACAUAAGCAAUCAAAGAUUGAAAUCUGGCAAGAAAAUUUAAAUGUAGACAUUUUCAACAUUAUCAUGUUUGUGCCUGGUUCACAUAUAUGCCUGCGACGUGCCUGCGACGUACCGGCGACGAUGCCGGUGGUAGCUUAAAACGUAAAUUAUGUGAAUAUUUGUUCGCCGAUUGCCUCCAGUGCCACAGUUACAACGGCGGUAGGCCGGGAAAGUUGACUUGAGUUCAACUUUGCCGGUAUUUCGGCGGCAAGUAGAGGCAUAAUGAUACAGUCGCAGGCAUAUGUGAACCAGGCAUUAGGCAGACCAGUUUGGUUCCCAGAUUAAUGCAAUAUGAACUUUAAUAGGAAUAAUAUCAAGUUAUUCUGCACCUUGCAUUAUAACCCAAACAACCCGCCGGGUACCAGAGUUGGCUUGGCCCGCGUAUAAAACAGUCGCUAUGUUACCAUAAAAAUAUGCUCAAAAUGUCAAAGUUGGCUCCAUUUUUCAGACAAUCCCAACAUACACGAAGUCCGCAAAUUGUAUUUUUCGUUCAUACCUACACUGGUACCCAACAUUCAAGAUGUUAUUCUUAUCACCGUCAGUACUGUACAGUCUUUUAUACCUCAUGAAUUAUGACUAAGUUGGCUGCAUAUACAGUAGUAUUUAAAUUUUGGCUUCUUGGUGUACUGCUCAAUAUCUAUGGGAUGCUUUCAGUACUUGAGCGUCGGUGUACUUCGUCAAAACGUCAAAGCCUACUGCACGCCAUUGCCAAGCAGUGUUGUUAUAUAGUUAGUGUCAAAGUUCAAUUUUUCUGUUUGCCGAUUGGUCAAAACCGUGUCACGUGCCGGUCCACAAAACGUCAUGUUCGGCAACCGGUCCGCAAUGAAACAAUUAUUGACCGGUCAAUGAGUGCAAUACGCAUGCGUGUCAACCAUGAAGUUCCAAAGUUCAUUUUUUUAAACUUUUUUAUACUAAAUAUUUACGGCGUUCCAUUUAUCCAGUUUUAGUUUCAAAUUAAGUUCACUGUAAUAACCGGUGAAUUAUUCAUACUUUGACACUUAUAUACUAUAUAACAAAACACUUAUUUACUGAGACCUUGGGAAAGCAGUGUGUUUUGUGGCCCCUCGACCGACCUUGUUGCCCUCGGCUUCGCCUCGGGAAACAACGGCGGUCUCGGGUAACAACGGCGGUCUCGGGUCCACAAAACACACUGUUUCCCUCGGUCUCAGCACAGUUAAUAAAAUUAUAAAUAAAUGUUAAAUUAUCUAAAAUGAACUCAACUCGUCGAUCUUCGUCUUGGCGAGAC